rnacentral:rRNA from 1 species
CACGUAGGGUGCGAGCGUUGUCCGGAAUUAUUGGGCGUAAAGAGCUCGUAGGCGGUGUGUCGCGUCGGCCGUGAAAACCUGCAGCUUAACUGUGGGCUUGCGGUCGAUACGGGCAUCACUGGAGUUCGGCAGGGGAGACUGGAAUUCCUGGUGUAGCGGUGAAAUGCGUUGAUAUCAUCAGGAACACCAGUGGCGAAGGCGACCCACUGGGUCAUUUCUGACGCUGAGGUACGAAAGCUAGGGUAGCGAACGGG